rnacentral:rRNA from 1 species
AUUGAACGCUGGCGGCAGGCCUAACACAUGCAAGUCGAGCGGAUGAAGAGAGCUUGCUCCUGGAUUCAGCGGCGGACGGGUGAGUAAUGCAUAGGAACAUGCCUGGUAGUGGGGGCUAACGUCCGGAAACGGGCGCUAAUACCCCAUACGCCCUGAGGGAGAACGUGGGGGAUCUUCGGACCUCACGCUAUCAGAUGAGCCUAGGUCGGAUUAGCUAGUUGGCGGGGUAAAGGCCUACCAAGGCGACGAUCCGUAACUGGUCUGAGAGGAUGAUCAGUCACACUGGAACUGAGACACGGUCCAGACUCCUACGGGAGGCAGCAGUGGGGAAUAUUGGACAAUGGGCGAAAGCCUGAUCCAGCCAUGCCGCGUGGGUGAAGAAGGUCUUCGGAUUGUAAAGCACUUUAAGUUGGGAGGAAGGGCAGUAAGUUAAUACCUUGCUGUUUUGACGUUACCAACAGAAUAAGCACCGGCUAACUUCGUG